rnacentral:misc_RNA from 1 species
CGCAUCUAGAUCAUUCUCAAGCCAUCCAGAGAAGCCUUUUCCCUUUUUUACUUCCUAUUUUGGUAUCAAUUUCAAAUAUAAACCUAAUUUAUUAUUUUUGUUUUAUGAUUCCUCCGUGCUGAUCGCUCAUGUGAAGUCUCCGAUUGGGGAUAUAUAAGGACCUCGAUGAAGCACUGAAGAAGUCGUCCCCUGGUUAAGGAAGGGAGGCCAUAGAAGUUUAGAAAG